CAGUCGCCGCGGUAAUACGAAGGGUGCAAGCGUUAAUCGGAAUUACUGGGCGUAAAGCGUGCGUAGGCGGUUUGUUAAGUCUGCUGUGAAAUCCCCGGGCUCAACCUGGGAAUGGCAGUGGAUACUGGCAAGCUAGAGUGUGUCAGAGGAUGGUGGAAUUCCCGGUGUAGCGGUGAAAUGCGUAGAGAUCGGGAGGAACAUCAGUGGCGAAGGCGGCCAUCUGGGACAACACUGACGCUGAGGCACGAAAGCGUGGGGAGCAAACAGGAUUAGAUACCCCAGUAGUCCCUGUCUCUUAUAA
rnacentral:rRNA from 1 species